rnacentral:rRNA from 1 species
GACGAACGCUGGCGGCGUGCUUAACACAUGCAAGUCGAACGGAAAGGCCCUGCUUUUGUGGGGUGCUCGAGUGGCGAACGGGUGAGUAACACGUGAGUAACCUGCCCUUGACUUUGGGAUAACUUCAGGAAACUGGGGCUAAUACCGGAUAGGAGCUCCUGCUGCAUGGUGGGGGUUGGAAAGUUUCGGCGGUUGGGGAUGGACUCGCGGCUUAUCAGCUUGUUGGUGGGGUAGUGGCUUACCAAGGCUUUGACGGGUAGCCGGCCUGAGAGGGGGACCGGCCACAUUGGGACUGAGAUACGGCCCAGACUCCUACGGGAGGCAGCAGUGGGGAAUAUUGCACAAUGGGCGGAAGCCUGAUGCAGCAACGCCGCGUGUGGGAUGACGGCCUUCGGGUUGUAAACCGCUUUCGCCUGUGACGAAGCGUGAGUGACGGUAAUGGGUAAAGAAGCACCGGCUAACUACGUG